rnacentral:rRNA from 1 species
UACAGAGGGUGCGAGCGUUAAUCGGAGUUACUGGGCGUAAAGGGCGCGUAGGCGGUUAUAUAAGUGAGAUGUGAAAUCCCUGGGCUUAACCUAGGAACUGCAUCUCAUACUGUAUGACUGGAGUAUUGUAGAGGGUAGUGGAAAUUUCCGGUGUAGCGGUGAAAUGCGUAGAGAUCGGAAGGAACACCAGUGGCGAAGGCGGCUACCUGGACAAAUACUGACGCUGAGGCGCGGAGAGCCGUGGGGGAGCAAACAGG